CCUACGGGUGGCAGCAGUGAGGAAUAUUGGUCAAUGGGCGGAAGCCUGACCCAGCCACGCAGCGUGCAGGAUGAAGGCCCUACGGGUUGUAAACUGCUUUUAUACGGGAGUAACGCGACUUAAGCGUAGGGCUUUGCAUGUACAGUAUGAGUAAGAACCGGCGAAUUACGUGCCAGGAGCCGCGGUAAGUCGGAGGGUCCGGGGGUUAUCCGGAUGUUUUGGGUGUAUGGGGCGCGUAGGUCGACUGUCAAGCGAGCUGUGAAAUGUCCGGGCUCAACCCGGGCCUUGCAGCGCGAACUGGGGGUCUUGAGUCAGCGGAAAGCAGGCGGAAUUCGCCGUGUAGCGGUGAAAUGCGUAGAUAUGGCGAAGAACCCCGAUUGCGAAGGCAGCUUGCUGGAGCGGAACUGACGCUGAUGCUCGAAAGCGCGGGUAUCGAACAGGAUUAGAUACCCUUGUAGUC
rnacentral:rRNA from 1 species